CUGUUCUUUAGCAAACUUCUGAUUUGGAAACAACACGUUCUCCUACUUAUUCUACUGGUCAAGGACGAGAAGUACACAUAAAUCUCCAAAGAAACCACCAAGAUCAACCACAACUGAAGAAGAUACACCAUUUGGAAGAUCAGAAGCCAUGGUUACAUGUGGAUCCAACACUCAGAUGCACAAUGACAACGCUGACCUCAAUUCAGGAAGAUUUAGGUAGCUCACGUUUCCUAAAAACAAAACCUGCAGCUGAUGAAUAUACACCAGUGCAGAUGCCAUAUAAGAUAUCAGACCAAACCUCUCACAGCUCACUGGGUUGUUACCAGGCUUGGAUAAUAAACAUUCUAAAUACAUUCACAUCUGAAAGGGUCACAUAACACUGGACAAAAAGGAGUUGCCACAGUCUGUGUUCUCAUUUAGAACAGAAAUCUACAACACUCCCUAGCAACAGGCACUUGCAGAAAACAAUUAUUUGAAUCAAAAGAAAAUAAAAACCACCACCAACAAAGCAACUAAAAAACGACACAAACAUUAAUAGUCUAAAUUGUGAAACUAUGUGGUCUUUACUUCUGCAUGAAGUUGCUCAAUUCCUAUACUGCAGUCAAUACCUGUGUUGAUUAUACAAUAUUUAAGUAAAAAAACAAAA